CGCGUAAUACGGCUCAGUAACAUGUGGCUAACCUGCCCUCUGGACGGAACUAACCCCGGGUAACUGGGGAUAGUGUCCGAUAGGUGAAGAGGCCUGGAAUGGUUCUUCACUCAAAAAGCGUUGGAAUCAUGCUUUUCAACGUCGCCAGAGGAUGGGGCCGCAACCGAUCAGGCUGUUGGCGAGGUAACGGCUCACCAAACCUAUAACCGGUACGGGCCGCGGGAGCGGUAGCCCGGUUAUGGGCACUGAGACAAGGGCCCAGGCCCUACGGGGCGCAGCAGUCGCGCAAACUUUGCAAUACGCGAAAGCGUGACAGGGCUAUCCCGAGUGCCGUCCGCUGAGGAUGGCUUUUCUCCGGUGUAGUGAGCCGGAGGAAUAAGGAGAGGGCAAGUCUGGUGUCAGCCGCCGCGGUAAUACCAGCUCUCCGAGUGGUAGGGACGAUUAUUGGGCCUAAAGCGUCCGUAGCCGGCUAAACAAGUUUCCCGUUAAAUCCAGCGAUCUAACCGUUGGCCUGCGGGAAAUACUGUUUGGCUAGGGGGCGAGAGAGGCCAACGGUAUUCCCGGGGUAGGGGUGAAAUCUUAUAAUCCCGGGAGGACCACCAGUGGCGAAGGCUGUUGGCUAGAACGCGCUCGACGGUGAGGGACGAAAGCUGGGGGAGCGAACCGGAUUAGAUACCCGGGUAGUCCCAGCUGUAAACGAUGUAGACUAGGUGUUAGGGCGGCUACGAGCCGCUCUAGUGCCGCAGGAAAGCCAUUAAGUCUACCGCCUGGGGAUACGCCGCAAGGCUGAAC
rnacentral:rRNA from 1 species